AUAGUCCCGUACAUGAAAAUCCCUUUUAAGUGAAAUCGAGUAGGUCGGAGCACGUGAAACUUUGACUGAAUAUAGGUGGACCAUCAUCUAAGGCUAAAUACUCCCAACUGACCGAUAGUGAACCAGUACCGUGAGGGAAAGGCGAAAAGAACCCCUGUGAGGGGAGUGAAAUAGAACCUGAAACCGUAUACGUACAAGCAGUAGGAGCACCUUCGUGGUGUGACUGCGUACCUUUUGUAUAAUGGGUCAGCGACUUAUUUUCAGUGGCGAGCUUAACCGAAUAGGGGAGGCGUAGCGAAAGCGAGUCUUAAUAGGGCGUCGAGUUCGUGGGAUCAGACCCGAAACCGAGUGAUCUAGGCAUGACCAGGAUGAAGGUAAGGUAACACUUACUGGAGGUCCGAACCCACACCUGUUGAAAAAGGUCGGGAUGAGUUGUGCCUAGGGGUGAAAGGCCAAUCAAACUCGGAGAUAGCUGGUUCUCUGCGAAAUCUAUUUAGGUAGAGCGUCAUCCGAAUACCCCCGGGGGUAGAGCACUGGAUGGGUAAUGGGGCCCCACAGGCUUACUGAUC
rnacentral:rRNA from 12 species